rnacentral:rRNA from 1 species
CCUACGGGAGGCAGCAGUGGGGAAUAUUGGACAAUGGGCGAAAGCCUGAUCCAGCCAUGCCGCGUGUGUGAAGAAGGUCUUCGGAUUGUAAAGCACUUUAAGUUGGGAGGAAGGGCAGUAAGUUAAUACCUUGCUGUUUUGACGUUACCAACAGAAUAAGCACCGGCUAACUUCGUGCCAGCAGCCGCGGUAAUAA